AUCUUUCUAGUAUUAAUGUCUAGUACAGUUGACUUCCAAUCACCCUGUCUUGGUUAAAAUCCAAGGAAAGAUA
rnacentral:tRNA from 1 species